UGAUCGAGCAUUAGAUUAAUGCCAAGUGUCACAAAUUGGCAGAGAGAUUAGUUAACCCAGGCCAUUAGUUUGCCUAUAAAAGGCCUUUUUGCCCCGGUCACUAUUCAUUUCUGCUGUUACCAUGCAAAGGUGCUGCCAAAAUAUUUUCAGAGAUUUUUCAGCAUUGAACGAUCAUCCGAGACAAUGAGAAACUUUGUCAGAGCA
rnacentral:lncRNA from 1 species